AUUGAACGCUGGCGGAAUGCUUUACACAUGCAAGUCGAACGGUAGAGGGGGCAACCCCCUUGAGAGUGGCGAACGGGUGAGUAAUAUAUCGGAACGUGCCCAGUCGUGGGGAUAACGUAGCGAAAGUUACGCUAAUACCGCAUACGAUCUACGGAUGAAAGCGGGGGACGUCGCAAGAGCCUCGCGCGAUUGGAGCGGCCGAUAUCAGAUUAGGUAGUUGGUGGGGUAAAGGGCUCACCAAGCCAACGAUCUGUAGCUGGUCUGAGAGGACGACCAGCCACACUGGAACUGAGACACGGUCCAGACUCCUACGGGAGGCAGCAGUGGGGAAUUUUGGACAAUGGGCGCAAGCCUGAUCCAGCAAUGCCGCGUGCAGGAUGAAGGCC
rnacentral:rRNA from 1 species